rnacentral:rRNA from 1 species
GUUAAGCGACUAAGCGUACACGGUGGAUGCCCUGGCAGUCAGAGGCGAUGAAGGACGUGCUAAUCUGCGAUAAGCGUCGGUAAGGUGAUAUGAACCGUUAUAACCGGCGAUUUCCGAAUGGGGAAACCCAGUGUGAUUCGUCACACUAUCAUUAACUGAAUCCAUAGGUUAAUGAGGCGAACCGGGGGAACUGAAACAUCUAAGUACCCCGAGGAAAAGAAAUCAACCGAGAUUCCCCCAGUAGCGGCGAGCGAACGGGGAGCAGCCCAGAGCCUGAAUCAGUGUGUGUGUUAGUGGAAGCGUCUGGAAAGGCGCGCGAUACAGGGUGACAGCCCCGUACACAAAAAUGCACAUGCUGUGAGCUCGAUGAGUAGGGCGGGACACGUGGUAUCCUGUCUGAAUAUGGGGGGACCAUCCUCCAAGGCUAAAUACUCCUGACUGACCGAUAGUGAACCAGUACCGUGAGGGAAAGGCGAAAAGAACCCCGGCGAGGGGAGUGAAAAAGAACCUGAAACCGUGUACGUACAAGCAGUGGGAGCACAGAGCAAUCUGUGUGACUGCGUACCUUUUGUAUAAUGGGUCAGCGACUUAUAUUCUGUAGCAAGGUUAACCGAAUAGGGGAGCCGAAGGGAAACCGAGUCUUAACUGGGCGUUAAGUUGCAGGGUAUAGACCCGAAACCCGGUGAUCUAGCCAUGGGCAGGUUGAAGGUUGGGUAACACUAACUGGAGGACCGAACCGACUAAUGUUGAAAAAUUAGCGGAUGACUUGUGGCUGGGGGUGAAAGGCCAAUCAAACCGGGAGAUAGCUGGUUCUCCCCGAAAGCUAUUUAGGUAGCGCCUCGUGAAUUCAUCUCCGGGGGUAGAGCACUGUUUCGGCAAGGGGGUCAUCCCGACUUACCAACCCGAUGCAAACUGCGAAUACCGGAGAAUGUUAUCACGGGAGACACACGGCGGGUGCUAACGUCCGUCGUGAAGAGGGAAACAACCCAGACCGCCAGCUAAGGUCCCAAAGUCAUGGUUAAGUGGGAAACGAUGUGGGAAGGCCCAGACAGCCAGGAUGUUGGCUUAGAAGCAGCCAUCAUUUAAAGAAAGCGUAAUAGCUCACUGGUCGAGUCGGCCUGCGCGGAAGAUGUAACGGGGCUAAACCAUGCACCGAAGCUGCGGCAGCGACGCUGAUGCGUUGUUGGGUAGGGGAGCGUUCUGUAAGUCUGCGAAGGUGUGCUGUGAGGCAUGCUGGAGGUAUCAGAAGUGCGAAUGCUGACAUAAGUAACGAUAAAGCGGGUGAAAAGCCCGCUCGCCGGAAGACCAAGGGUUCCUGUCCAACGUUAAUCGGGGCAGGGUGAGUCGACCCCUAAGGCGAGGCCGAAAGGCGUAGUCGAUGGGAAACAGGUUAAUAUUCCUGUACUUGGUGUUACUGCGAAGGGGGGACGGAGAAGGCUAUGUUGGCCGGGCGACGGUUGUCCCGGUUUAAGCGUGUAGGCUGGUUUUCCAGGCAAAUCCGGAAAAUCAAGGCUGAGGCGUGAUGACGAGGCACUACGGUGCUGAAGCAACAAAUGCCCUGCUUCCAGGAAAAGCCUCUAAGCAUCAGGUAACAUCAAAUCGUACCCCAAACCGACACAGGUGGUCAGGUAGAGAAUACCAAGGCGCUUGAGAGAACUCGGGUGAAGGAACUAGGCAAAAUGGUGCCGUAACUUCGGGAGAAGGCACGCUGAUAUGUAGGUGAAGCGACUUGCUC